AAAGUCGUAACAAGGUUUCCGUAGGUGAACCUGCGGAAGGAUCAUUAUCACGUAUCCACGUAUAAACCAUUGUGAACCGUUCUUUAACCUCCAGGAGCAUUGGAUGCGCGCGCAUGUAAAAGUGUGUGUUUGCAUCCAACGUAACUGGAGCGUAUUCAACCUAUUAACCAUUUUAACCAAUCUUUAUAACUUUAUGAACUAACUUUAUUUUAUACUCUUCGGAGAUAAAAUUCAUUACGAAACAAAGAACAACUCUUAGCAACGGAUAUCUUGGUUCUC
rnacentral:misc_RNA from 1 species